GCAGACACAUUCCAGCCAAUCAGCAGCAGACCCUCCCUCCAAGACCCUCCCACCUCCUGGACAGCAUCCAUUUUACAUUCAUUGUGAAGCUGCAUUCUUAGUGAGCUGUCCAGGAGGUGGGAGGGUCUGGGAGGGAGGGUCUGCUGCUAAAUGGCUGGAAUGUGUCUG